AUUUGUGUCUGCUGGACUAUACUGCACUUGAACGUCAGGUUACUUUGGGUUAUCAACACCCGACAGAACCUCCCUUUCCGGUUAUAGUAUGUAGAAAUUCAGAACGACCCCUUAAAAACCAUGUCCUUAUUUGGCACUCUGGAACAAGAAUUCUGGUUGCAUAGGUACAACUGCUAACUGCAUGCUUGCAGUUGUUACAACACCCUUUCUUUUGGCGGACUAAUCAAAGCAUUGAUCUGAAAACAACGUUCAACAUUUCUAUGCUGUAUAACAGAAGAAAGUGGCAUUUUUCUUUCAAAACAUAACCACAUUUCUAUUGGAAAUUCAUAGACGAUACAAAUGGUAAGGCAUACAGCAUACACAAAAAUAGAAUAUGAUAAACUUUUAUAUAUUUUUAAAACCACCAUUGCAGACAGUAGGCCUCCCAUAUAACUACGGACAUGGCAUACGCUGGCUUACAGUAUCGGGCACGAGGCAUUAUCCCAUGCAAAAAUAAGCCUAUGCUCGGCGAGAUAAAAUUAGAUCACAUGUUGAACAGGUAACAAACCUGCAGUUUUUCGCUUUGUAGUUACUUUUCGGAAAAGUCCGGCGUUUUGCUUUUUCUUUUCCGUCAAAGAAGCAAAUCCUUUUCGUACCAGCGUAAGUAAAAAGCUUAAACAUCUUGUACAAUAAUAUCUUGGAAAUAUAAAACAGCAUUAUGGUAAACAA